UACCUUGUUCCAUAUUAUCUUGAACACAAGCUUUUAUAGCAAUAUCUCUCUUUAUAGUAACUCUUGUGAGUUGACCCUCCUACCUUCACCUUUUGGCACCAUCGAGUACCUAUAUCAUACGAUAAGCCUAGUUAUGUUGUUGUUGAUGUUGUUUAACCUUGCCAUAUUUGCUUUGUUGUUGUUUUAGUUCUUCUGUAUGGCAUGGUUAUUGAUUUGGGUUCUUUCACUUGCGAUAGAUUUCUCGGAGCGUGACGAGUAGAGUUAUCAGGAUUGUGAGUGCGACGAACUUCAUCCAACGUACCAGAUUUCAUACGACGAGUGAGUGAUACGAUGUAGGGUUACGAUGUCUAUACUCGGCAUUUGCAUGUGGUGUUGAUGGACUUCAUGGAGAUUUUAUUUGCUUUUCUGCUGCAUUUUGUUUAUAUGCUAGCUUGAGCUAUGCAGGUAUGUAUUAUAUUAAAUUCUGGACCUACGAUGUAAUAUUAUGACAUGUGGUUUAUUCUUGAUAUUACAUCUUGUACUGUGUGUGCUA